rnacentral:rRNA from 1 species
AGAGUUUGAUCCUGGCUCAGAACGAACGCUGGCGGCAUGCCUAACACAUGCAGUCGAACGAGACCUUUGGGUCUAGUGGCGCACGGGUGCGUAACGCGUGGGAAUCUGCCCUUGGGUUCGGAAUAACUUCGGGAAACUGAAGCUAAUACCGGAUGAUGACGUAAGUCCAAAGAUUUAUCGCCCAAGGAUGAGCCCGCGUAGGAUUAGCUAGUUGGUGAGGUAAAGGCUCACCAAGGCUACGAUCCUUAGCUGGUCUGAGAGGAUGAUCAGCCACACUGGGACUGAGACACGGCCCAGACUCCUACGGGAGGCAGCAGUGGGGAAUAUUGGACAAUGGGCGAAAGCCUGAUCCAGCAAUGCCGCGUGAGUGAUGAGGGCCUUAGGGUUGUAAAGCUCUUUUACCCGGGAAGAUAAUGACUGUACCGGGAGAAUAAGCCCCGGCUAACUCCGUGCCAGCAGCCGCGGUAAUACGGAGGGGGCUAGCGUUGUUCGGAAUUACUGGGCGUAAAGCGCACGUAGGCGGCUUUGUAAGUUAGAGGUGAAAGCCCGGGGCUCAACUCCGGAAUUGCCUUUAAGACUGCAUCGCUUGAACGUCGGAGAGGUAAGUGGAAUUCCGAGUGUAGAGGUGAAAUUCGUAGAUAUUCGGAAGAACACCAGUGGCGAAGGCGACUUACUGGACGAUUGUUGACGCUGAGGUGCG